rnacentral:rRNA from 1 species
GGCUUUGAGUUUGUUUGUUCAAGGUUGGUUCUGCUCGAUGAGUUAUUUAAAUGGCUGCAGUAAAUUGACUGUGUGAAAGUAGCAUAAUAAUUAGUUUAUUGAUUGUAGACUGGUAUGAAUGGAUUGAUGAGAUAUUAUCUGUCUUGUAUUUAUUGGGGGCUGAAUUUUACAUCCAGGUUAAAAGGCUUGGAUUUUUUAGAGGGACGAGAAGACCCUUUAGAACUUUAUUUUCUAUGUGGUCUUAUUUUUUGUGGGGUUGUUGUGGAGAUUUUGUUGGGGUGAUGGAUAGAUUUUUAAAAUUUUGUUAUUGUUUUUCAUUGAUUGGUGGUUUUGUUAUGAAUUUUUUUAUUUAUUAGAUUAAGUUACCUAAGGGAUAACAGCGUUAUUUGUAUGGAGAGUUCUUAUUGAUAUACAGGUUUGCGACCUCGAUGUUGAAUUAAGAUUAUUUUUGUAGAAGGGUUUAGAGUAAUUGGGUCUGUUCGACCUUUAAAAUCUUACA